GUCCUAGCCGUAAACGUUGGGCACUAGGUGUGGCGGUCUGACCAACGACUGCCGUGCCGUAGCUAACGCAUUAAGUGCCCCGCCUGGGGAGUACGGUCGCAAGGCUAAAACUCAAAGGAAUUGACGGGGACCCGCACAAGCGGCGGAGCAUGUGGCUUAAUUCGAUGGUACCCGAAGAACCUUACCUGGGCUUGACAUCAUGGGAAAAGCCGUGGAAACGCGGUGUGCGGAAGCGUCCAUGACAGGUGGUGCAUGGCUGUCGU
rnacentral:rRNA from 1 species